UGGAAAUGAUGAAAUAGAGAUACUGGGUGUGGUUGAAUGGUGUAUGAUGUGCCGGGGGGGUGGGGAGGUUUAGUCGUAAAAUUAAGUUUUAGUAUUAGUGUAAAUUUUAAUGGUUUGAUUUUGUACGACUGGAUAUAAGGCUACGGUCAGGGGGCACUGACUCAGUAGUGUUGAUUUUGGAGUGCAUCUGAGGCUGUUGCUCAAAUACGUGGGCCUCAUUAGCAACAUUGCCAGUGAUUAUAGCCCCAAAAUAGCUCACCCGACUAGCUUAGCACCCAAAAAUCUCUAACGGUUUCAUCGAUGUGGACCUGUGAUCUGAUCCAA